AUUGAACGCUGGCGGCAGGCCUAACACAUGCAAGUCGAACGGUAACAGGAAGAAGCUUGCUUCUUUGCUGACGAGUGGCGGACGGGUGAGUAAUGUCUGGGAAACUGCCUGAUGGGGGGGGAUAACUACUGGAAACGGUAGCUAAUACCGCAUAACGUCGCAAGACCAAAGAGGGGGACCUUCGGGCCUCUUGCCAUCGGAUGUGCCCAGAUGGGAUUGGCUAGUAGGUGGGGUAACGGCCCACCUAGGCGAGGAUCCCUUACUGGUCUGAGAGGGUGACCAGCCACACUGGAACUGAGAAACGGUCCCGACUCCUACGGGAGGCAACAGUGGGGAAUAUUGCACAAUGGGCGCAAGCCUGAUGCAGCCAUGACGCGUGUAUGGAGGAGGCCUUCGGGUUUUAAAGUACUUUCAGCGGGGAGGAAGGGAGUAAAGUUAAUACCUCUGCUCAUUGACGUUACCCGCAGAAGAAGCCCCGGCUAACUCCGUG
rnacentral:rRNA from 1 species